rnacentral:rRNA from 1 species
UGAACGCUGGCGGAAUGCUUUACACAUGCAAGUCGAACGGUAGAGGGGGCAACCCCUUGAGAGUGGCGAACGGGUGAGUAAUAUAUCGGAACGUGCCCAGUCGUGGGGGAUAACGUAGCGAAAGUUACGCUAAUACCGCAUACGAUCUAUGGAUGAAAGCGGGGGACUCGCAAGAGCCUCGCGCGAUUGGAGCGGCCGAUAUCAGAUUAGGUAGUUGGUGGGGUAAAGGCUCACCAAGCCAACGAUCUGUAGCUGGUCUGAGAGGACGACCAGCCACACUGGAACUGAGACACGGUCCAGACUCCUACGGGAGGCAGCAGUGGGGAAUUUUGGACAAUGGACGCAAGUCUGAUCCAGCCAUUCCGCGUGCAGGAUGAAGGCCCUCGGGUUGUAAACUGCUUUUGUACGGAACGAAAAGGUUUCUUUUAAUACGGGGAGCUCAUGACGGUACCGUAAGAAUAAGCACCGGCUAACUACGUGCCAGCAGCCGCGGUAAUACGUAGGGUGCAAGCGUUAAUCGGAAUUACUGGGCGUAAAGCGUGCGCAGGCGGUUAUAUAAGACAGAUGUGAAAUCCCCGGGCUCAACCUGGGAACUGCAUUUGUGACUGUAUAGCUAGAGUACGGUAGAGGGGGAUGGAAAUUCCGCGUGUAGCAGUGAAAUGCGUAGAUAUGCGGAGGAACACCGAUGGCGAAGGCAAUCCCCUGGACCUGUACUGACGCUCAUGCACGAAAGCGUGGGGAGCAAACAGGAUUAGAUACCCUGCGUAGUCCACGCCCUAAACGAUGUCAACUGGUUGUUGGGUCUUCACUGACUCAGUAACGAAGCUAACGCGUGAAGUUGACCGCCUGGGGAGUACGGCCGCAAGGUUGAAACUCAAAGGAAUUGACGGGGACCCGCACAAGCGGUGGAUGAUGUGGUUUAAUUCGAUGCAACGCGAAAAACCUUACCCACCUUUGACAUGUACGGAAGCCUUUAGAGAUAGAGGCGUGCUCGAAAGAGAGCCGUAACACAGGUGCUGCAUGGCUGUCGUCAGCUCGUGUCGUGAGAUGUUGGGUUAAGUCCCGCAACGAGCGCAACCCUUGUCAUUAGUUGCUACAUUCAGUUGGGCACUCUAAUGAGACUGCCGGUGACAAACCGGAGGAAGGUGGGGAUGACGUCAAGUCCUCAUGGCCCUUAUAGGUGGGGCUACACACGUCAUACAAUGGCUGGUACAAAGGGUUGCCAACCCGCGAGGGGGAGCCAAUCCCAUAAAACCAGUCGUAGUCCGGAUCGCAGUCUGCAACUCGACUGCGUGAAGUCGGAAUCGCUAGUAAUCGUGGAUCAGAAUGUCACGGUGAAUACGUUCCCGGGUCUUGUACACACCGCCCGUCACACCAUGGGAGCGGGUCUCGCCAGAAGUAGUUAGCCUAACCGCAAGGAGGGCGAUUACCACGGCGGGGUUCGUGACUGGGGUGA